GACGGGACCCGCACAAGCGGUGGAUGAUGUGGUUUAAUUCGAUGCAACGCGAAAACCUUACCCACCUUUGACAUGUACGGAAUCCUUUAGAGAUAGAGGAGUGCUCGAAAGAGAGCCGUAACACAGGUGCUGCAUGGCUGUCGUCAGCUCGUGUCGUGAGAUGUUGGGUUAAGUCCCGCAACGAGCGCAACCCUUGUCAUUAGUUGCUACGAAAGGGCACUCUAAUGAGACUGCCGGUGACAAACCGGAGGAAGGUGGGGAUGACGUCAAGUCCUCAUGGCCCUUAUAGGUGGGGCUACACACGUCAUACAAUGGCUGGUACAAAGGGUUGCCAACCCGCGAGGGGGAGCCAAUCCCAUAAAGCCGAUCGUAGUCCGGAUUGGAGUCUGCAACUCGACUCCAUGAAGUCGGAAUCGCUAGUAGUCGCAGAUCAGCAUGCUGCGGUGAAUACGUUCCCGGGCCUU
rnacentral:rRNA from 1 species